rnacentral:rRNA from 1 species
ACUCCUACGGGAGGCAGCAGUGGGAAUAUUGCACAAUGGGCGAAAGCCUGAUGCAGCAAUGCCGCGUGUGUGAAGAAGGCCUGCGGGUUGUAAAGCACUUUUAUCGGGAAAGAAAAACCAAGGCUAAUACCCUUGGUCUUGACGGUACCCGUUGAAUAAGCACCGGCUAACUCCGUGCCAGCAGCCGCGGUAAUACGGAGGGUGCAAGCGUUAAUCGGAAUUACUGGGCGUAAAGCGAGUGUAGGCGGCGACGUAAGUCGGAUGUGAAAGCCCCGGGCUCAACCUGGGAAUGGCAUUCGAUACUGCGUGGCUCGAGUCUGACAGAGGGGAUGUGGAAAUUCCGGGUGUAGCGGUGAAAUGCGUAGAUAUCCGGAGGAACACCAGUGGCGAAGGCGGCAUCCUGGGUCAAGACUGACGCUGAGGCUCGAAAGCGUGGGGAGCAAACAGGAUUAGAUACCCCGGUAGGCUCUGCU